AUCUUAGAAACCCUAGCCUCUCUCCUCCUCUCUCAAACCCUAGACUCCGUUCUUGGCGAUUUUGGGGGAAUUUCGAAGGAUUUACACCAGGAUUUUGUGGUGCUGUCGAAGGAGGAUCAAUUUCUCGCAGGUUUAGGAGUUUUGCAGCACAUCAGAGACGAGUAAUAUCUCGCCCAGCCCUACACUCACUGUUUGUAACGAGCCAGGAGCCCGGUGAGUCGCAGGUUGAUGGCGAUGCACUUUAGCUUCAGCCGUUUAUUUUAGUUAUAUUUUUCUUUUGAACUCCACUGUAGAUUGUUGUUAGACAUCUGAGAGUUUAUUCUAGAAGUUGUAAAGGAUUUGUGUCUUAUUUCCUUUUAUUCAGACAUUUGUAUUUGAGACUUGUUGAGAA